rnacentral:rRNA from 1 species
UACGUAGGGUGCAAGCGUUGUUCGGAAUCAUUGGGCGUAAAGCGCGUGUAGGCGGCCUACUAAGUCUGAUGUGAAAGCCCGGGGCUCAACCCCGGAAGUGCAUUGGAUACUGGUUGGCUAGAGGGCGAGAGAGGGAAGUGGAAUUCCUGGUGUAGGGGUGAAAUCCGUAGAUAUCAGGAGGAACAUCGGUGGCGAAGGCGGCUUCCUGGCUCGUUUCUGACGCUCAGACGCGAAAGCGUGGGUAGCAAACAGG